GACGGAGGGUGCAAGCGUUGUUCGGAAUCACUGGGCGUAAAGCGCGUGUAGGCGGUUUGAUAAGUCGAAUGUGAAAGCCCGAGGCUCAACCUCGGAAGUGCAUUCGAAACUGUCAGGCUUGAGUACGGGAGAGGGAAGUGGAAUUCCUGGUGUAGAGGUGAAAUUCGUAGAUAUCAGGAGGAACACCGGUGGCGAAGGCGGCUUCCUGGACCGAUACUGACGCUGAGACGCGAAAGCGUGGGGAGCAAACAGG
rnacentral:rRNA from 1 species